rnacentral:rRNA from 1 species
UUCCAGACUCCUACGGGAGGCAGCAGUGGGGGAUAUUGCACAAUGGGGGAAACCCUGAUGCAGCGACGCCGCGUGAGUGAAGAAGUAUUUCGGUAUGUAAAGCUCUAUCAGCAGGGAAGAAAAUGACAGUACCUGACCAAGAAGCCCCGGCUAACUACGUGCCAGCAGCCGCGGUAAUACGUAGGGGGCAAGCGUUAUCCGGAUUUACUGGGUGUAAAGGGAGCGUAGACGGCAGCACAAGUCUGGAGUGAAAUGCCGGGGCUUAACCCCGGAACUGCUUUGGAAACUGUGCAGCUAGAGUGCGGGAGAGGUAAGUGGAAUUCCUAGUGUAGCGGUGAAAUGCGUAGAUAUUAGGAGGAACACCAGUGGCGAAGGCGGCCUGCUGGGCUUUAACUGACGCUGAGGCUCGAAAGCGUGGGGAGCAAACAGGAUUAGAUACCCUAGUA